CAAGCAGUAUGUUUCUUCAUAUAUACUUUUGAAGGCCUAUCUACCAAUUUUGCAUGGCUGCUCCGGUGGUCCCUAUCUAAUUCCCUCUGUUAACUUUUGUGUUUGCAGGGGCUGCCGGUUAGUUCGCCAAUCAUUUUUUCACAACAAUCCUUCAAUUUUUUUGGACUUGGGUGCAGGGAUUAGGCUGUAGAGGAUUUCACUCUACCAUUCGAGCCGCAAAGAGUGGGUUUUGUCUUAAUAUUGAUGUUUCCACGACAAUGAUUUUCAAGCCUGACCCUGUUGUUGAUUUUUUACUUGCCAAUCAGAAGGUUGAUCACCCGAAUGAAAUUUAUCGUGGGAAAGGUCAAGCGUGCAGUCAAGAAUUUAAGGAUAAAAACAAGCCCGGCAAACACAGAGCACACGACCAUUGGCUUGAGUCAUGAACAUAUUCUAAUCUGCUAUGUGCGUCUGGAUGCUUCUCAGGUGGCAAACUAAAUCAAGUUUGAUGAGAUGUCUG